AAGACUAUAGACCUGCGGAGUACCUGCGGAAGGAUCAUUAUCAAAUCCACAAAACACCCUUUGUUGUUGGCUGGCUGCUGUACACCACUUUAGCUUUUAUUAAUCCUUAAUGGAUGGAUAGAGUGGGUGGUGAACAAGCAACUAGAUGGCAAUCCCUUGCGGAAAGUCACCGAGGGCCUACCAACAACAACCUAGCCUAGCUGGUGCAUCUAGAUAGCUGCUUGCUACUCUAUUAAUCAU
rnacentral:misc_RNA from 1 species